GUGGGGAAUAUUGGACAAUGGGCGAAAGCCUGAUCCAGCCAUGCCGCGUGAACGAUGAAGGCCUUCGGGUUGUAAAGUUCUUUAGCCGAUGAUUAUAAUGACUGUAGUCGGAAAAUAAGCACCGGCUAACUUCGUGCCAGCAGCCGCGGUAAUACGAAGGGGGCGAGCGUUAUUCGGAAUCACUGGGCGUAAAGCGUGAGUAGGCGGUUUUGUAAGUUAGGAGUGAAAGCCCAGGGCUCAACCUUGGAAUUGCUCUUAAAACUGCAAGGCUCGAAUCUCGGAGAGGAUAGCGGAAUUUCCAGUGUAGCAGUGAAAUGCGUAGAUAUUGGAAGGAACACCAGUGGCGUAAGCGGCUAUCUGGACGAGUAUUGACGCUGAGGCACGAAAGCGUGGGGAUCAAACAGGAUUAGAUACCCCAGUAGUCC
rnacentral:rRNA from 1 species